rnacentral:rRNA from 1 species
UUAAAGGAAUUGACGGGGACCCGCACAAGCGGUGGAUGAUGUGGUUUAAUUCGAUGCAACGCGAAAACCUUACCUACCUUUGACAUGUACGGAACUCGCCAGAGAUGGCUUGGUGCUCGAAAGAGAACCGUAACACAGGUGCUGCAUGGCUGUCGUCAGCUCGUGUCGUGAGAUGUUGGGUUAAGUCCCGCAACGAGCGCAACCCUUGUCAUUAGUUGCUACAUUUAGUUGGGCACUCUAAUGAGACUGCCGGUGACAAACCGGAGGAAGGUGGGGAUGACGUCAAGUCCUCAUGGCCCUUAUAGGUAGGGCUACACACGUCAUACAAUGGCUGGUACAAAGGGUUGCCAACCCGCGAGGGGGAGCUAAUCCCAUAAAGCCAGUCGUAGUCCGGAUCGCAGUCUGCAACUCGACUGCGUGAAGUCGGAAUCGCUAGUAAUCGUGGAUCAGAAUGUCACGGUGAAUACGUUCCCGGGUCUU